GUGAAGAGUCAAAUGCUUUUCACUUUAAGGACAAGCUGUGAUGGGGAGCGAAAUUUAGUAGCGAAGCGUCUGAUGUCACACUGCCGAGAAAAGCUUCUAGUGAGUACUUAACUACCCGUACCGCAAACCGACACAGGUAGUCGAGGAGAGAAUCCUAAGGUGAGCGAGUGAACUCUCGUUAAGGAACUCGGCAAAAUGACCCCGUAACUUCGGGAGAAGGGGUGCUGAUCGCAAGAUCAGCCGCAGUGAAUAGGCCCAGGCGACUGUUUAUCAAAAACACAGGUCUCUGCAAAAUCGUAAGAUGACGUAUAGGGGCUGACGCCUGCCCGGUGCUGGAAGGUUAAAAGGAUGGGUUAGCUUCGGCGAAGCUCAGAAUUGAAGCCCCAGUAAACGGCGGCCGUAACUAUAACGGUCCUAAGGUAGCGAAAUUCCUUGUCGGGUAAGUUCCGACCCGCACGAAAGGCGUAACGAUCUGGGCACUGUCUCAACGAGAGACUCGGUGAAAUUAUAUUGUCCGUGAAGAUGCGGACUACCCGCGACAGGACGGAAAGACCCCAUGGAGCUUUACUGUAGCUUGAUAUUGAGUGUUUGUACAGCUUGUACAGGAUAGGUAGGAGCCAUAGAAACCGGAACGCUAGUUUCGGUGGAGGCGUUGGUGGGAUACUACCCUCGCUGUAUGACCACUCUAACCCGCACCACUAAUCGUGGUGGGAGACAGUGUCAGGUGGGCAGUUUGACUGGGGCGGUCGCCUCCUAAAAAGUAACGGAGGCGCCCAAAGGUUCCCUCAGAAUGGUUGGAAAUCAUUCGCAGAGUGUAAAGGCACAAGGGAGCUUGACUGCGAGACAGACAGGUCGAGCAGGGACGAAAGUCGGGCUUAGUGAUCCGGUGGUACCGUAUGGAAGGGCCAUCGCUCAACGGAUAAAAGCUACCCUGGGGAUAACAGGCUUAUCUCCCCCAAGAGUCCACAUCGACGGGGAGGUUUGGCACCUCGAUGUCGGCUCAUCGCAUCCUGGGGCUGUAGUCGGUCCCAAGGGUUGGGCUGUUCGCCCAUUAAAGCGGUACGCGAGCUGGGUUCAGAACGUCGUGAGACAGUUCGGUCCCUAUCCGUCGCGGGCGUAGGAAAUUUGAGAGGACCUGUCCUUAGUACGAGAGGACCGGGAUGGACAUACCUCUGGUGUACCAGUUGUGCCGCCAGGCGCAUCGCUGGGUAGCUACGUAUGGAUGUGAUAAACGCUGAAAGCAUCUAAGUGUGAAACACACCUCGAGAUGAGAUUUCCCAUUCCUUUAUGGAAGUAAGACCCCUGAAAGAUGAUCAGGUAGAUAGGUUAGAAGUGGCAGUGCGGUGACGCAUGAAGCGGACUAAUACUAAUCGGUCGAGGACUUAACCAA
rnacentral:rRNA from 2 species